rnacentral:rRNA from 1 species
CAACCUGCCCUUCGGCGGGGGAUAACACACCGAAAGGUGUGCUAAUACCGCAUAGUUUGUCGGAUCGCAUGGUCUGACACUAAAGGUGGCCUCUUCUUGAAAGCUAUCACCGAAGGAUGGGCUCGCGUACCAUUAGUUUGUUGGUGGGGUAACGGCCUACCAAGACUGCGAUGGUUAGUUGGUCUGAGAAGAUGAUCAGCCACACUGGGACUGAGACACGGCCCAG